CAUUCACCGCCCAGUACCAGCGGAGGAACGAUAUCCGGGAGAGGGAGCUCGAUAUGCAGCUCCUGAACACGGAUACGACGCACAUGACGGACGCACAACGUGCAUUGCACGCGUCCAUGGUCGCCGACGUGCUCAGGCGUCGUGGUCUAUCCUAGGCUUUUAAUUAUGUGAUUUUAAUGAUGUUUUAGGUUUUUUAAAUUUUUAUGUUUUUUUUUUUGGUGUUUUUAAAUUUUU
rnacentral:lncRNA from 1 species